UAACAGUGUCGUCAAGUGUCAGAAUUGGAACAGAAUCGUCUGUCAGUUCCAUACAAAUGCGCGUUCCAAACGAGCAGGAGACCUGUCAAACGUGACACAUGACGUUACUCUUCUUAUAGGACUCUACUAUUAUCGUUCCCAUUUAUCGCGUGAAAUUUAUUUCUUUGACUUUGAAGUGAAACAUUCUUCAAAACUAUUCCCCAUCAACGUUGUGACUCAUGGAUUGCCGUGUGAAAACAUUCAUUGAAGAAAUUUUGACCGAAAGUACCAAGCCUUGCAAAAGGGGCAAAAGGGCCAACCUAAACAGAAGUACCAACAGCAUGAUGAAGAUAACAGAAAACUGCACCACUGCCAAAGCUACAGUCGAUCAAUUCAGCCGCGAUGGGAUCAGUUUAAAAACUACCCCAAUAGCACCCAAGUCUCAGAGACUGUCGAAACUAUCGGGACUAGAGCUCCUAAACUGAUGUGUUGGUGUUGCUGAUCUCCGUUCCAACUAGUUGAGGUUAGAGGUUUGAGGAUAUGCGCGAUUCGUGCGAAAACACCGAUUGUUCCAUUUUUGUGAACACAGGCUCUUCCUGGGAACGAAAACGAUCAUAUGUUGUCAGCGAAUGAAGUAACAGCUUAACUGCUGCGACUUAUGUUCCAACCAAUUAUUACUUCUCACCUUAAACGUUCCUCCCUAUAUCCUCAAUUUCACAAAACACCGUUGUUAAUUGUACUGACAUUAUGUUAGACACCAGAAGUAAUAGAACGCUGUUGAAAGAGCUAAAAUUAAUCAACAGCAGCAUCCGGAAAGAGUUGAUGGAAGUUCCUCGUACAGCAGUACUCAGUAAACAUAAUAUAUCUGGUCGCGUUCGGGGAGCAAUCUUUCUACAAGCUGGAGUGCAUGGUCGUAUGUAAGUUCUUCGAAACAAGAAUACUCUAUAGUAGCGAAAGGCAUCACAUCAAACACUUCAACAUCCAAUUCGAGCGAUUCCAAACAGCACAAUAGCGAUACCAUUAGGAUUUACGACAAUACUGACCUGGAGCGGAGAUCAAUCAGUCUUGGCUUCUCUAUAGGACAAUCCUUAAAUCAUCUCGAUGUCGACGAUUCACACCACCAAAACGAUUCCGGCUGUACAGGCCUAUAUCGAUGGACGGUUGCUAAUUCAAGAAAAUGUUGCUGCCGUGAAUGAUUCCGACGAUAUUGUUGGUGGCGAUUCAUCGGUAUCCAGUUCUCGACAACAAGUCGCACAGAAAACCCCCUAAUUAGCUUGAAUACGUCGAUUCACAUCACUAAAGUGAUCUUGGGUGAAGCGAUGUUGUGGUAUAUGUCCAUGGACGAACAAUAUCGUGACGUGAUCGAUAUGGAUACAUUAUGUAGGUCAUAUAGUACGGCACAAACUGAAUAAAAUUAGAACUAGCAAACAAAAACUUAAUUGAAAAAGAAACAAUGGCAUAUAAUAAGUACGUGUAAACUUCUGUUUCUCCAGCUGAACAUACAUUGUUACAUCUACUUACUUUUUGCCAUUUGUGU